GUAGAAAUGAAGUGUCGACAAUCGGCAAUGUUUAUAAAGGAAACGAAAAUGGAAAUUCUCUUUAACCAACAGGACUACUUUUAAAGUUUAAAGAUCUACAAAAAAUGUACUGUCCAUUUAUAUUUGAUUCAAGUCCAGUCGAUUUAUAAUUUAGUAAAGAUCCAUGUCCAGUCAAUGUGAUCCUUGUCCAGUCAAGUUGUUAUUAUAGUCCAUGUAAUCCUUGUCCAGCCAAGUUGUUAUUAUAGGUAAGUGUACAGUAUAGUGAACUAUAUAGGAUCAUUUACUAUUGAAAUUUGUUUCCAAUGUAAAAUAUUCAAACUCUAUAAGGGGAGAUAAUCAACAUAUAGUUUUUACAUUCAAAAUACCAUAACUCCAAUUUUUUUUAUAGUAAACAAGACACAUGACAUCAUUAGAGUGUUAUUUGCCUUCAAAAAUAGAUUGGUUGAACUUAAGCAUGGAACUUGUGCUAAAGAAAAAUAAAGUGAGAUAAAUGUCAAUGAGACAGCAACCCAACAAGUCAAGAAUGGAGAUGUGUAAAGGUCAAUGUAUAGGAGAUGUGUACAGGUCAAUAUAUAGGAGACAUGUACAGGUCAAUAUAUAGGAGACCUGUACAGGUCAAUAUAUAGGAGAUGUGUACAGGUCAAUAUAUAGGAGACGUGUACAGGUCAAUAUGUAGGAGAUGUGUACAGGUCAAUAUAUAGGAGAUGUGUACAGGUCAAUAUAUAGGAGAUGUGUACAGGUCAAUAGAUAGGAGAUGUGUACCGGUCAAUAUAUAGGAGAUGUGUACAGGUCAAUAUUUGGAGAUGUGUAAAGGUCAAGGUAUAGGAGAUGUGUACAGGUCAAUAUAUAGUAGAUGUGUACAGGUCAAUAUAUAGGAGAUGUGUACAGGUCAAUAUAUAGUCAACAAUUCAAAAAUAACCUCAUAUGACAAGGUCUACAUUUUUAUGAAGCUGGCCAUAACAUUUAGGAUUUAUUCAUGUUAAUGAAAUAAUUGCGCAUUAUACCUUUUUAUCGCUCCGCGGGUGAACUAUGAUGUUGUGAUUGGUUUAAAGCCGUCACAUGGUGACCCCAAAUGGAUCCGUAUGGGGUUAGUAAAUUUCAUAUGGGUUCAUGACAUCUGUCUAUUGUUAAUGGUGACGUCAUCUAUUGAUGUUGUUGUAUUUCAUUGUUUAUUUUUCUACAAAAUGCAACAGGAAAAGUCCCAUGUGCAAUAAAUUUGCUAUAUCCUAUAUACGGUUCACUACUGACCCCCUUUGGCCCCAACCCCUAUGGAUUUUAAUAACCCUCUAGUCUAUGGAUCCGUAGGGGGUCAGUAGCAAACUAUAUAACUUUAAUAUAAUUGUAAGUUUAUUUUAUUGAAACAGGGAGAUAAUACACACACAUUGAUAUAUUUAUACAGGGAGAUAACACACACACAUUGAUAUGUUUAUACAGGGAGAUAACCCACAAACAUUGAUAUGUUUAUACAGGGAGAUCACCCUCAAACAUUGAUAUGUUUAUACAGGGAGAUAACCCACAAACAUUGAUAUGUUUAUACAGGGAGAUAACCCACAAACAUUGAUAUAUUUAUAAGAAACAGGGAGAUAACACUCAACCAUUUAUAUAUGUAUACAGGGAGAUAACACAAACAUUGAUAUGUUUAUAAGAAACAGGGAGAUAACCCACAAACAUUGAUAUGUUUAUAAGAUACAGGGAGAUAACACUCAAACAUUUAUAUGUUUAUACAGGGAAAUAACCCACACACAUUGAUAUGUUUAUAAGAAACAGGGAGAUAACACUCAAACAUUUAUAUAUUUAUACAGGAAGAUUACCUACAAACAUUGAUAUGUUUAUAAGAAACAGGGAGAUAACACACAAACAUUGAUAUGUUUAUAAGAAACAGGGAGAUAACCCACAAACAUUGAUAUGUUUAUAAGAAACAGGGAGAUAACCCACAAACAUUGAUAUGUUAAUAAGAUACAGGGAGAUAACACACAAACAUUGAUAUGUUUAUACAGGAAGAUAACACACAAAGAUUGAUAUGUUUAUAAGAAAGGGAGAUAAUACACAAACAUUGAUAUGAGAUAAAACACAAACAUUGAUAUGUUUAUACAA